rnacentral:piRNA from 1 species
UGGGACCUGAGGGGAACUCUGAGCCUUGA